AUUGAACGCUGGCGGCAUGCUUUACACAUGCAAGUCGAACGGUAACAGGCCUUCGGGCGCUGACGAGUGGCGAACGGGUGAGUAAUGCAUCGGAACGUGCCCAGUAGUGGGGGAUAGCCCGGCGAAAGCCGGAUUAAUACCGCAUACGACCUAAGGGUGAAAGGGGGGGAGUCGCAAGACCUCUCGCUAUUGGAGCGGCCGAUGUCAGAUUAGGUAGUUGGUGGGGUAAAGGCCUACCAAGCCUGCGAUCUGUAGCUGGUUUGAGAGGACGACCAGCCACACUGGGACUGAGACACGGCCCAGACUCCUACGGGAGGCAGCAGUGGGGAAUUUUGGACAAUGGGCGCAAGCCUGAUCCAGCAAUGCCGCGUGCGGGAAGAAGGCCUCGG
rnacentral:rRNA from 1 species